AUCCGAGGGCUUAACAGGUCUUAUCACGUGCGAGUCGAGCGGAUGAAGGGAGCUUGCUCCUGGAUUCAGCGGCGGACGGGUGAGUAAUGCCUAGGAAUCUGCCUGGUAGUGGGGGAUAACGUCCGGAAACGGGCGCUAAUACCGCAUACGUCCUGAGGGAGAAAGUGGGGGAUCUUCGGACCUCACGCUAUCAGAUGAGCCUAGGUCGGAUUAGCUAGUUGGUGGGGUAAAGGCCUACCAAGGCGACGAUCCGUAACUGGUCUGAGAGGAUGAUCAGUCACACUGGAACUGAGACACGGUCCAGACUCCUACGGGAGGCAGCAGUGGGGAAUAUUGGACAAUGGGCGAAAGCCUGAUCCAGCCAUGCCGCGUGUGUGAAGAAGGUCUUCGGAUUGUAAAGCACUUUAAGUUGGGAGGAAGGGCAGUAAGUUAAUACCUUGCUGUUUUGACGUUACCAACAGAAUAAGCACCGGCUAACUUCGUGCCAGCAGCCGCGGUAAUACGAAGGGUGCAAGCGUUAAUCGGAAUUACUGGGCGUAAAGCGCGCGUAGGUGGUUCAGCAAGUUGGAUGUGAAAUCCCCGGGCUCAACCUGGGAACUGCAUCCAAAACUACUGAGCUAGAGUACGGUAGAGGGUGGUGGAAUUUCCUGUGUAGCGGUGAAAUGCGUAGAUAUAGGAAGGAACACCAGUGGCGAAGGCGACCACCUGGACUGAUACUGACACUGAGGUGCGAAAGCGUGGGGAGCAAACAGGAUUAGAUACCCUGGUAGUCCACGCCGUAAACGAUGUCGACUAGCCGUUGGGAUCCUUGAGAUCUUAGUGGCGCAGCUAACGCGAUAAGUCGACCGCCUGGGGAGUACGGCCGCAAGGUUAAAACUCAAAUGAAUUGACGGGGGCCCGCACAAGCGGUGAGCAUGUGGUUUUUAUCG
rnacentral:rRNA from 1 species